UGCGGAGGGUGCAAGCGUUGUCCGGAUUUAUUGGGUUUAAAGGGUGCGUAGGCGGCCCUGUAAGUCAGUGGUGAAAUACUGCAGCUUAACUGUAGCAUUGCCAUUGAUACUGUAGGGCUUGAGUACAGAUGAGGUAGGCGGAAUUGAUGGUGUAGCGGUGAAAUGCAUAGAUACCAUCAAGAACACCGAUUGCGAAGGCAGCUUACUAAGCUGUAACUGACGCUGAGGCACGAAAGCGUGGGGAUCGAACAGG
rnacentral:rRNA from 1 species